rnacentral:rRNA from 1 species
AGUGAACGCUGGCGGUAGGCCUAACACAUGCAAGUCGAACGGCAGCACAGUAAGAGCUUGCUCUUACGGGUGGCGAGUGGCGGACGGGUGAGGAAUACAUCGGAAUCUACUUUUUCGUGGGGGAUAACGUAGGUAAACUUACGCUAAUACCGCAUACGACCUACGGGUGAAAGCAGGGGAUCUUCGGACCUUGCGCGAUUGAAUGAGCCGAUGUCGGAUUAGCUAGUUGGCGGGGUAAAGGCCCACCAAGGCGACGAUCCGUAGCUGGUCUGAGAGGAUGAUCAGCCACACUGGAACUGAGACACGGUCCAGACUCCUACGGGAGGCAGCAGUGGGGAAUAUUGGACAAUGGUCGCAAGCCUGAUCCAGCCAUACCGCGUGGGUGAAGAAGGCCUUCGGGUUGUAAAGCCCUUUUGUUGGGAAAGAAAAGCAGCAGGUUAAUACCCCGCUGUUCUGACGGUACCCAAAGAAUAAGCACCGGCUAACUUCGUG